AUGAAAUGUAGCUGCAUCAUCCUCUUCCUGAUGGCAGCAGCUACAGGUGUCCACUCACAGGUCCAGCUCCAGCAGUCUGUGGCUGAGCUGGUGAGGCCUGGGGCCUCCGUGAAGUUGUCCUGCAAGGCUUCUGGCUACACCUUCACCAGCUAUUAUAUUACCUGGGUGAAGCAGAGGCCUGGACAGGGCCUGGAGUGGAUUGGAUGGAUUUAUCCUGGAAGUGGUAGUACAGACUACAAUCAGAAGUUCCAGGGCAAGGCCACACUGACUGCAGACACAUCCUCCAGCACAGCCUACAUGGAGCUCAGCAGCCUGACCUCUGAGGACUCUGCCGACUAUUACUGUGCAAGACACACACAGUGUUGCAACCACAUCCUGAGUGUGUCAGAAACUCUGGAGGAGCAGGAAGCUGCCCUGGGAAUGAGAUGA